UACAGAGGUCUCGAGCGUUGCUCGGAAUCACUGGGCGUAAAGGGUGCGUAGGCGGGUCUUUAAGUCAGGGGUGAAAUCCUGGAGCUCAACUCCAGAACUGCCUUUGAUACUGAAGAUCUUGAGUUCGGGGAGAGGUGAGUGGAACUGCGAGUGUAGAGGUGAAAUUCGUAGAUAUUCGCAAGAACACCAGUGGCGAAGGCGGCUCACUGGCCCGAUACUGACGCUGAGGCACGAAAGCGUGGGGAGCAAACAGG
rnacentral:rRNA from 1 species